CCCGUCAGGCGCGGAGCCCGGCACCGCUCCGCGCUUCGGACGUUCUCCUGUUGCUACUCUGGCCUCUCUCCUCCCUCUUUGGCCGCGCUGGCACGAAGCCCGAGGCUCCGAGGCUGAGGUGCGGGUUUCCCGCCGCCCGCUCCCCUCAGCUCCGCUUCCGGGUGCCGGCCAGGACUCCAGCCAGAAGCGGUGGAUUUAGAAAGCUGGGAUAACUGGUAAAUAUGGCAACCUACGUCACUGUUAUGCUUUAAACUGUCGUUAUGCUUUAAAGAUGUCGAUAUGAGGCAGGCACACAGACAGCUCUUUUUGAGACUUCAUAAAAUCUGUGUAAUCCGUUCAGAUUCUGAGGUAAUGAUUUGAAAAAGUACUUUUGAAGGACUGGCAAGCGUCCCUUUGCACACACAAAGUAAUAAAUCCACCAGGAACUGCUUCCUUUCUCCUGUUACCUAUCUCUAUGUUCCAUGCAAGACCCUCCUUCAGCUUUCCCUGGCAAACCUCCACACGAUGCUGUCUGUGGAAACUGUUAAAAACACGUACACCUUUGUGGUGAUGUUCUGGAUAUUUUAGUUUGAAGGCUAUAUAAGGCCUGUUUUGACAAAGGCCUCUCUUUGCCUAUGGCUCUGCACUUGAUAAAACACAAUGCAAUAUGGAGAGCAGUGUUGUCCAUCCAGCCUUGUCGCCUGUGUGGUUACAGCUUGUUCUGUUUCUGUUAAAUGCAUUAUUGCUCAAGUGCGGUUUCCCAGCCUCCGCUAAAUAUAAACUAGCAGGUCCAUUGGGAAAAGUGGUGAGGGAAACAGACUGCAGUGGUGAGCCUCGUUCCCCCCAGGAAAGGCCCCAAAAUCCUUCCGUUUCCUUCUCUGUUGCUUGACCACCUCCUUCUUCUCCGGCACAGCUGGUCUCUGGUGGUGAUACUUGGCACUCUGCCUUUUGGCACAAAAGACUGGGAGAAGGUGGUUGUUUUCUGAGUCCGUGGGCAUCCAUAAGCAGUAUCACCUGAACUGUGCCAUCAUGAGAAGAAUGGACCUACAGGAACAUAGCAAGGUUCUUCACAACCAGAAUAUGUUGCAUUGGGUGACAGGUAUAAAUGUGAGCUUGGCAGCUCUCGUGAGGGUAUCUGAAUGAUGGGACUAUAAGAAGGAAGAGACAAGCAUGAUGGGUGUAACAUAAAAGGCCCUCUGGCCAUAUUUUAUCAUGCUCCACACUUUGCUUGCCUUAGCUGGUGGGGUUUGCUUUAAGGGAAUUGCUUUAAGAGAGAGGGAAGAGUUUAAUUCUUUCCCUGCUAGGCACCUGUGAUGCAAUGCUGUAUCUAAAAGCCCCAUACCAAAACUUAUUUUUCUAUAUAAAAGCGUAAGGCAUCGCCACAGAAAAGAUUCUUCUUGACGUCAGGAUUUGACAAAGACAAGGAACAGAGGCUUCAAAAGGAACAUGAAAUCAUCUUGACAUCCUGAAAAUGUAUCGACAUCUUAAAAAUCACAUUAGCCACUUGCAAGGACCUGUUUCCCAGAGUCUGAGGCUUACAGAGAGCUUCUUCCUCCACCGUGGAGAUAGUGUGAGAGCCAGUGUGCCACCAGCAUCAGAAAGGUGGAGAGGUUUAGCAGGAAAACAUGAACAAGAAGAUAUGCAAGGUUUAUUUUUAUCAACACUGUGCACAUAUCCUGGAGAGUGGAGGAGCCACUGUAUCCUUGUUGGAAUCUCUUAUCCUAAUCCCAGCAACUGUGCUUUUGUGCAGCAGAUGGAGAAGGAAAACUGUUCCAACCACACCUAUACUAGUUCUGGAAAAUACUCUGGAUCACUGCUGAAGUAGAGCAAACUCCAGGGCCACCAAGGGGUAAGACCCUGUUCUACUUUGGAGCAUUUGUUCAGUGUGGAGCAAAAGGACACACAUCACCACUUUCCACUGUGGCUGAAGGAAUUGAAGACACUUGGUAACAGUACUGGGCUCAGCAGCAGAAGAAAAAGCUUUAAAAUAAAAAAAUCACGUGUCAUCCCCCUGGUUUUGACUGUGGAACGUGUUAGUCUGGAGUUAAAGCAAUAACCUGUUUCAGAAUUCAGUGUCCAAACAUCAGCUAACUGGAAUUUCUGGGCUUCUUCCCAUGUCAAAUAGCAUGCAAGUGAAAUGCCUGUAUUUUAUAUAGACUACGUUUUAAAUGCAAGCCUGUAUACAGAAUGCUCUCAUUUACAAAAACCUAAGUCAGCUAUCCUUCUGCUAUGCAUUAAUUCCAGAGAAAGCUGGAAAUCCUAUGGAAAGUUUGAUGUAAUUACAUCUGACUGUAAAUCUUUGACUGUUUUAAUAUACUCAGGUGACCUAAAUAGCAUUACGCAGAAAAGAACUUUAAUUUAAAGUAAUUAAAAAAAGAGUAAUUGUCUCAAGAUCAGUUUCUUAGAGAAAUUACUGCUCAGAAAAGUCCUGUAUGCCUUGUUCUACAGCCAUAUUCUUUGUAUUUCCACAUUGUAAAUACUCCAUGGUAAAUUGCAAUGGAAGCUCAGCUUAGCUUAACUUCUGGCUCUGUGGUACUGCUUCUUGGUUGAGAAAAUUGAUCUGACUCAGUUUUUGGCAUCUAUGCUUUACUUUUACAGCUGGUUCGUAUGUGUCCUUCUAGUUUAAUGGUGACUUUUCUUCAGUAUGAAUUUCUGUCACACUCAAACAGCUGAUUAAGAGCUGCUGGGGCUGUGCUGCCAAUUGUCCUUUAAAAUGUCUGAGCCAGUUUUUCAAGAGGUUUAAAUGAAGGUGAUGGGAAAACCUGUUAGCAAUUCAAGGGAGGUUUGCUUGAAUUGAAUUGCUUCUUUGAUCUGGUGGUGUGCCAAGCCAGUUGUCUGAGCAGUCUGAGACUGCCCUUCCUAGAGUGGCUGUUCAGCUGGCUUCACAUACAUUAGAUAGAUCUCAUUCAAGUGCUGGAUUUAUUACACAGUGGUGCAGGUCAGCCACAUUGUUCAUGUGCAAUAGGUGCCUAUUCCUUUGCUUUUUUCUCAGGGCUUCUGGAAACAAGAGCAGCUAGGAGUUAGUAAUAGGCUGAAUAGCCAGUCGUACUGAUGUGGCUUGAAAACAGCCAUUUGGUGUAUUAUGGUGGCCUAAGUAAAUCUACACAUCAGUUUGUAGGUUUGCCUGUGCAGAAACACGUGUGGGACCUGCUUUUUAAAGAUCAUUCUCUGCUUCAGAUUUUUCCUGCUGCUCUAGAACUGACAGUGGAUGAAAACAUAUUUAGUUGUAAUUAUUAAAGAAACACAGUGGAAGAAAGAAUAAUUCUCAUUGUCACUGGAUGGAACCAGCUCCCAUGGUGCAAGGACCAAGGUACAAGGAACAAAGAGCUGAAUUCAGAGAGCAGCUGAGUAAGGGAAGUGGAAGUGGAGCCUUGUGGGGAGAAAUGGCAGGAGCUACUGUACCUGAGAGAGAUAUGUUUUAUAUCUUGUUAUUUUAUUCAUAGCUUCAUGACUCUGCCAUCUCAGAUGGAGUUUUGUUCAUAGAAGUCUUCAGGUUGUCUGGAAUCUCCUGUGACAGUCUCAGGGCAGAAUUAAAAAUGCAGAUAUGCUUCAGGCAAGAGCUGCAUCCAUCCUGAUCUGUCCUGAAGCUGAUGAUAUGAUGGAGGAGCAAUGGCACUCUGAAAAGAGCAAGGUUCAGUGAAAUGGCUGUGCAGUGCUGUAGCUGUGGAGACAGGAGCAGCAAGGUUUCAGCAGAGGUAAUAACCAGGAAUCCUGUGAAGAUGUAUACCACGUCACCAUGCUACUUGAUAUCCUGAAUACAGAAAGCCAUGACAGAGGGACAUGCAUGUACCUCACGACUGAAGAACAGGAAGGAGGUGCGAAACAGGGAGGUGGCUGAUCUCCAUUUUCCCAUAAUCAAGGAUCUCUAAGUGCCUUGGAGAGCAGAUGCUGAUGAGUAAUAACAGAGCUUGGUAAAAAAAAUCUACAUCCUUUUCUUGAUUACCUUCAUCUGAUGAUGUGAAAUGCUAGUCUUAACGAGGGGUACAGAAAUAUUUAGUGGUAUGGAAAUUUCAUGUAGAGUGUUGGGCGAAUCAAGAAACUUGUUCAUGUUCAUUGGUAAAUGUUUUCAGUUGACUUAAUCUUGCUGUAUCCCAGGUCCUAAUCAGCAUCUGUGCUUUGACCCAAAGCUCACAUUAUUUCUUUUCUCUGACCAUUUUGAAGGAGUUUUGUCUAAGAAGCUGUAAUUCCAGUGAGGAAAAAUGACUUUGAUGUGUUUCAAGAUAUUUGGUUCAAAAUAAAAGCAGAUCUGAGCUCUCAUUUCAAAAUUCCCAAACAGAUUUUGAAUACUUGUAUUUGAAUCUGGCUCUUAAUAUACACUGGAGGAUGUUUCAAAAGGGAAACUUUUGUCAAUGUGAAAACAGUAGAAGCUCAGCUACCCA